rnacentral:lncRNA from 1 species
AUGACGAGGGUGUUCUCCAGCGUGAUGGCUCUGCGGGGAGAGCGUGGGACGGGGGCCGUGAGCCCAACGGGGACAGCGAUGCACCAGGACCCUCGGUCCCCACCCCACGGGACCCCCAGAUGGAUGGCACCCGGACACGUCCCCGUCCCUCAGAGGGAGCAGAGCUCAGCUGGUGGCCCCGGGACCAUGCCAGGACCCAGCCCCACGACCCCAAAAACCUCCCACGCCAAGCAGCCGCCGAAGCGCAUCGGGUGGUGCAAGAUUAAUAGGGCUUUUUUUUUUUUUUUUGCGCCUUUUUUUUUUUUUUUACGGAACGAUCUAAUCUGCUGGAAACAUAAAAUGGUUCGGGGAAUAUAUUUUACCAUUAAAUAUGAGAUAAGGGAGUUUUAUCUCCUCAAUCCUGCUUUGCAAAUAGAAAGGAGCCCAGUUCAAUUCCUGCAUAAUGUGGGUUACAAAUUCAAUUCCCACGGGCUGCGGCUGCCAGCAGCGGGCUCUGCGCUCCGGCAGCGCUGGGACCCAGCCUGGCCCCGCAGGGAUCCCUGGCACACGUGUCCUGUGCCAGCUCCCUCACACCGCUGCUGCCCCAGCAUGAUUCAAGCCCCCUUUGCCCACCCUCCUCCCUCUGAUUUUCUUAUUUUAUUUAUUUUUCUUAUUUUUCUUUCCAUCCACUUCCCCGAUGGCAAACGGAGCCGUCCGUCACCAAGCCCCUCCCCGGGUUUUAGUGCAAGGCGCUCGGGACGGCUGCUGAGCACAGAAAGGGCAGCCCCCCCCUAUACUGGGGGGAUACUGGGAGAUACUGGGGAGGGGGUACCGGGGCUUGGGGGCUCCGCAGGGGCUACUCACAUGCGGCUGCUGGGGGAAAUCUUCCUCCCGUCGCGGAACCAAGUGACCUGGGGCUGGGGGAAGCUGGCGAUGCGGGGCGCUCGGAUGACGGCCGCCUCACCAUGGGACACGCUCUGCUGCGCCUCGCUGUCCUCGAAGCUCCCCAUGUCUGUGGGGCAGAGGGGACAGCAGCAUGGGGACAAGGCAGGAUCCAGCCCAGGAGCAGGCUGGAGGCCACGGGGAUGGGGUCCCAAAGGGGUGGGGAGGAUCCGCGGGGUCUGCUCUUCCCUCCUGAGCCCCCAAACUGCUCCCACAUGCCCGGGGCUGUCCUCGUCCCAGGAGCCAUCCCCGCAGACCCCACAGCAGCUCAUCCCCAUCACCCAGAAGAGGAUGGGGACAGUGAGGUGGGAUCAAGCCCUGGGGCUCCCCGGUGACCCCCCCCGAGCAGGGAGAGCCGAGGCACGACCUUGGCUCCAUGGCAAGGUUGGGGUGCCCGCGGCCGCAGAUUUAUACCAGCAAAAAGAGCGAAGCAGGGUGCGUGGAGAAAGGGGAAGGGGGGGGGAUUUUUAUUGA